rnacentral:lncRNA from 1 species
UUGGACUUAUGUUGGCCUUUAUUAUUUAUACCUAAACCCUGCAAAUUCCCCAAACUCCGACACUUAAUUAAAUCCUUCCAAAUCUAUCUCCUUUUGAAUACAGGUAAAUUUAUUUGGACUUUUCAAGUCCUAAUUGAAUACACCCACAUUUAGAUGGACAUUUUAAAAGUUCAAACAAGUCUAGAUUGCAUACACCUGUUAUAAAAUGAACUGGUAUAUAUGCGAAUAUUGAGCUGCACGUAAAGUAGAUGAGACACAGUAUUUAACGAGGUUCGGCUAUGCCUAUAUCCCCG